GGGGGCGUUCCGGUUUCGACGGGAAUGUUCCGAGCAGAGAAGCGAGCCGAGGCGGUUGGCCCUCGUUAAUCACCUGACACAAAAGAUAAAUGCAGAAAACAAUUACGCUUUAGCUGCUUAAUAAUUAAGUAGCCGAUCUCCUAAGACUCUGAUACCCGGCCUUUGGAAGAUCGUCAUUUUAGGGAAUCUAAGGCAGUUUUUUCUCCGGUGAAAAACAGCUGAAAUAACAGCCGGAUAGAAAAAUAUGGCUUCGCCCGGGUAGCAGUAUUUUUCAAAAAUUAAACCCAGGAUGCGCUCGGAGAUGCUCUGUAAGGGAUGUUUUCGGACGCGAGUUCGACUCUCGCCGUCUCCACCA
rnacentral:tmRNA from 1 species